rnacentral:rRNA from 1 species
AGCAGCCGCGGUAAUUCCAGCUCCAAUAGCGUAUAUUAAAGUUGUUGCAGUUAAAAAGCUCGUAGUUGAAUUUCGGGAUCAAUCUAUCGGUCGUGCAAUAGUACGUACUGAUUUUAUUGAUUCCUCCCUUCUGAUGAACUAUGAUGUCAUUAAUUUGGUGUCAUAGGGAAUCAGGACUGUUACUUUGAAAAAAUUAGAGUGUUUAAAGCAGGCUCACGCUUGAAUACAUUAGCAUGGAAUAACGAAAUAGGACGUUUGAUUCUAUUUUGUUGGUUUCUAGGAUCGACGUAAUGAUUAAUAGGGAUAGUUGGGGGCAUUAGUAUUCAAUUGUCAGAGGUGAAAUUCUUGGAUUUAUUGAAGACUAACUACUGCGAAAGCAUUUGCCAAGGAUGUUUUCAUUAAUCAAGAACGAAAGUUAGGGGAUCGAAGACGAUCAGAUACCGUCGUAGUCUUAACCAUAAACUAUGCCGACUAGGGAUCGGAUGAUGUUAAUUUUUUAAUGACUCUACG